GAUGAACGCUAGCGGGAGGCUUAAUACAUGCAAGUCGAGGGGUAACAGGGUUUUCGGACCGCUGACGACCGGCGAACGGGUGAGUAACGCGUACACAAUCUACCUUCAAGACUGGGAUAGCCCUGGGAAACUGGGAUUAAUACCGGAUGUGAUUAUAAUGCUGCAUGGUAUAAUAAUUAAAGCUUCGGUGCUUGAAGAUGGGUGUGCGUUCUAUUAGCUAGUUGGUGAGGUAACUGCUCACCAAGGCGAUGAUAGAUAGGGGGCGUGAGAGCGUGAUCCCCCACACGGGUACUGAGACACGGACCCGACUCCUACGGGAGGCAGCAGUAAGGAAUAUUGGACAAUGGGCGCAAGCCUGAUCCAGCCAUCCCGCGUGCAGGAUGACGGCCCUAUGGGUUGUAAACUGCUUUUAUUAGGGAAGAAACGCCUGGUUUUAACCGGGCCUGACGGUACCUAAAGAAUAAGCACCGGCUAACUCCG
rnacentral:rRNA from 1 species